CCUACGGGGGGCAGCAGUGGGGGAUAUUGCGCAAUGGGGGAAACCCUGACGCAGCGACGCCGCGUGAAGGAUGAAGGUUUUCGGAUCGUAAACUUCUUUGACCGGGGACGAAGAAAUGACGGUACCCGGGGAACAAGCCACGGCUAACUACGUGCCAGCAGCCGCGGUAAUACGUAGGUGGCGAGCGUUGUCCGGAUUUACUGGGUGUAAAGGGCGCGUAGGCGGGGCGGCAAGUCCGAUGUGAAAUCCCGCGGCUCAACCGUGGAACCGCAUCGGAAACUGUCGUCCUUGAGUAUCGGAG
rnacentral:rRNA from 1 species